rnacentral:rRNA from 1 species
UACGUAGGGUGCAAGCGUUAAUCGGAAUUACUGGGCGUAAAGCGUGCGCAGGCGGUGAGCUGUGUCCGAUGUGAAAGCCCCGGGCUUAACCUGGGAAUGGCAUUGGAAACUGGCUCGCUGGAGUGUGGCAGAGGGGGGUGGAAUUCCGCGUGUAGCAGUGAAAUGCGUAGAGAUGCGGAGGAACACCGAUGGCGAAGGCAGCCCCCUGGGCUAACACUGACGCUCAGGCACGAAAGCGUGGGGAGCAAACAGG